rnacentral:hammerhead_ribozyme from 1 species
AUCCAGCUGACGAGUCCCAAAUAGGAGGAAACGCGCGUCAAACUAGAC